rnacentral:tRNA from 1 species
GGUGUAGCGUAGUCGGUUAACGCGUCAGAUUGUGGUCCUGAAGAUCGUGGGUUCGAAUCCCAUCAC